UGGAGCGGACGCCGUUAGGCGUUACAUAACCGGAAUUACCGGGCUUGCAGUUUCGGAGUUGAGUAAAUUCCUUUUGUGACAUUGAAAACUAUACCAAUCCCUUAUGUACCAUCCAAAAUUAGAGCGUCUCUUCAGUGCCAUUGAUUUUAAUUUCCCAUCCCCUGUGUACCACUACCAUCACUUUUAUCCUAACGGCGUUAAAAACUCCCCUCAAAUGCGUUGUUCUCUCUCCUUCUCUCCGAUUCUCUUGACUUUCUCCUCUCUCUCCUGUUCUCCUGUCGCACAAAUCAAGUGCCACCCACAACAUAAUUUCUCCAAUCUCCAACACAAAAUGGAUUGCUAAUCCAUGCUACUUCACAAUCUAAUGUUUCAACUUUGGAUUGUUGCAAAGGGAGCUUGGAUUUAGCAUCAAGGGGCGCGCGGAGCGAGGAUGCAGGGGCGGUGGCGGAGGCAGAGUCGCACCAGGGGCACCGUCACGGGAAGCCCGGCGGCGUCACCAUGGCCCGGCGCUGCGCGCGACAGGGGUGCGGGUCCGCGGUCCGGCGCGGCGACUGGAUGCAGGGAGCGUCGCGAGGAUGGCGGACCGAGCGGCCGCGUGCCGGGCCACGGCGCGACGCUGGGCCGACGCGCAUGGAUUUCAGGAUAGCCAUAGGAUUUCUGCAGGGCCGGAGCACACGAAAGUGACACUCCAGUUGCUCAAUGCCAUGGAUGAGCUCGUCUCCUCCAGCAGCUCUCUUUCCCCCGCCCCCAUCUUCU
rnacentral:lncRNA from 1 species